AUGAUGGCGGCGGCACCGCAGCCCGAGCAGCCGGACCUGGGCGGACUGGUGGACGCGCUCUGCGCGUCCGGCCGCUCCGCCGAGGCGCACCACCGCGUCGCGCUCCUCCUCUCCUCCGCAUCCGCGUCGCGCCGCCUCGACGCGCCCACCGCCAACGGCCUCCUCGCCCGCCUCCUCCGCGCGCGCACGCCCCUCCUCACGCUCCGCCUCGUCCAGGCCGCCCCGUUUGUGCCCUCCCUCCCCAACUACAACCGCCUCCUCGCCCUGCUCUCCUCCGCCGCCGCGCCCAUGUUCCUUCUCCUCGCCCACCGCCUCCUCCUCCGCAUGCGCGUGCCUCCGAGCGCCGUCUCCUAUGCCGCGCUGCUGGACGGCUACGCGUGCGCCGCUGACCCUCGCGCAGCCCAGAAGCUGCUCGACGAAAUGCCCCGGUGGGGGCUCGCCCCCAGCUCCCUCGCGCGCACCUUCCUCGUCAAGGCCUUCCUCCGCAGCCGCGACGUCGGCGCGGCCAUGGACCUCGUCGACAACCAGCUCUGGCCCAGCAUGGAGCGCUGCCACGACGAGGACCAGGGGCUCAAGAACGCGGCGUUUGCCAACCUUGUGCAGUGCCUGUGCGGCGAGGGGUUCUUCCACAUUGUCUUCGGCGUCGCCGAGGAGAUGCCGCAGCGGCGCUGCCUCGUCCCAGACGAGUUUGCCUAUGCCCAGAUGAUCGACUCGCUCUGCCGGGCUGGACAGCACCAUGGCGCCUCCAGAAUAGUGUACAUCAUGGGGAAGAGGGGCCUGUGCCCAAGCACCCUGUCCUACAACUGCAUUGUUCACGGGCUAUGCACCAGCCAGAAGCCCGGGGGACGCUUGAGGGCGUACCAGCUGGUGAUGGAAGGUAUGCGUUCCGGGUACCGACCGAGAGAGGUAACAUACAAGGUACUCGUCGAAGAGCUCUGCCGGGAGAAAGAGCUUGCCAAGGCCAAGGAUGUCCUGGAGCUGAUGCUGCAGCCUCAAUGUGGGCAUGAGAAACCUGAUGAGGAGACCAGGACUAGGCUAUACAAUAUGUUCCUUGGGGCACUGCGUGCUGUGGACAACCCAAGCGAGCAGCUCAGUGUGCUUGUGUCCAUGUUGCAGGGGGACUGCAAACCAGAUGUCAUCACUAUGAACACUGUCAUUCAUGGCUUCUGCAAAGUUGGGCGUACCCAGGAGGCUAGAAAGAUUUUGGACGACAUGAUUAAUGGGAAAUUCUGUGCUCCUGAUGUUGUCACCUUCACCACACUCAUUUCUGGAUACCUGGAUGUAGGCGAGCAUGCAGAAGCCCUCCAUGUGCUGCACACCUUGAUGCCCAGGCGCCGGUGCGCCCCUAAUGUUGUCACUUACAAUUCUGUCCUCAAGGGAUUGUUCUCCCUUGGGCUAGUUGACAGAGCAAUGCAGGUCAUCGAUGAAAUGAAAUCAAGUAGCAUCAUUGCCGACUCUGUGAGUCACACUGUGGUGAUCAAAGGGUUGUGCGAUGCGGGGCAACUUGAGAAAGCAAAGGCAUUCUGGGACAAUGUGGUCUGGCCAUCAGGGAUACAUGAUGGUUAUGUGUACAGUGCAAUCUUGAGAGGCCUCUGCAAACUGGGGAAACUGGAGCAGGCAUGCGAUUUCCUGUAUGAGUUGGCGGACUCUGGGGUUUGUCCCAGUGUUGUCUGCUACAACAUACUCAUUGACACUGCCUGCAAGCAGGGAUUGAAGAAGUUGGCCUAUCAAUUGGUGAAGGAGUUGAGAAGGUAUGGCCUUUCACCGGAUGCUGUGACUUGGAGGAUUCUUGAGAAAUUGCACCUUUAUGGCAAUGAAGAACAAGAGGAGGAGCACCAGGUCCCCACUUUUCAUGUCGAUCAAAGUUCUGCAGAUGACAAAGUAGAGCCUAUCGUCUCGACAAAAAAUGAGAUGCCUUCAUUGUCAUCGUCAUCAUCGUCAGAACAUUUGGAUGAAGUAUGCAAGAAUAACAACGAAGCUAAGGUUGAAGAAGCUGGAAGGUCACUAGAAAUGACUGAGAACCCAUCAGAUCUUACUGAGCCAGCGAAAGAGCAGAACUAUCUGAUAGACAAUUCAGUGGUUGGACCAACAAUGGACAAGGAUCAUACAAUCAGUGAUGAUGGCUUCAACAAGCAGUAUAAGCAACCUCUAAGAGAACCACUUUCCGAAGUAGCCAGAAGGGUUUUUGGCUUGCUCUAG
rnacentral:rRNA from 1 species